ACAAAGUUUCACCUUCUCCUCCAAGCUAAAGCCGAUUCUCUUUUCUUCUCCUCUCUUUUGUUCUUCAAGAAACCAAAGUCCUCUAAUCUCCUUCAAGCUAAGCAUCCAUUUCCAUUCUUCUCAAAAGGAAAAUAGCAAGUGAUAUCGUGCUGCUCUUUAUCCACACGGCUAUAUCUCUAUUUGGUCUUCCACUUGUGUUUUGAAAGGAGCUAAGAGGUUAAGGUAAUAAUGAAAAGGCUGGGGAGCAAGGCAUUACUGCAGAGGGAGAGCCAGACGCUUAUGACUUUCCCUAACUAGAAUAAUUAUGUUUAUGGAUGAUGGGUUAUGUUUAUGUAUAGAUGUUCUAUGUUGGGAUGGACUCUAAGAGUCUUUUUUGGAUGAAUGUUCCAAUAGGAUGUCUAUUAGGUGUUCCCUUUAUUAGAUCGAAAAUUUAGAGUACACGAGUGUCAUGUUCAUGCUGAUUGCAUGUUAUUAGAAAAAAAAAAUGGGAAGUAAAGU